AUGGUGACACGAGGAACGAGUCGUCCAGAUGUGAACAGGGAAUACCUCCGUGAUACGGACAGCAAUCCCACCUCCUAUGACAAGUUUCAUACCAUCUGCUUCCUUUCCCCUGUUAAUAAGUUUUCCCAGCCAGCUGAGUGCCCAAUCAAUUAUUUAGUGCGGCGGGGCCGCUGUCAGAUCCACAUCCGUGCUUCCAUGUCCAUCUCCAUCUCAUCGAGAUGCAGCACUGAAGUGCUCGCAAAGAACUUUCAAGGAUGAUUUUCACACUGUUACAUUACAAAAUUGAACAUAUUGGAAUCCACCAAAGUGAUUUAAACCAAAUGGAGCCAAAAUAUUAUUGAUUUACAAAUUACAGCAUGUGCUGGUUAUUUCUUUCAAUGUCUUUGAAUUGUUGUAAAUUCUGAGGAAAUAUGGUACAUGGUAAAGUAUUGCCUAGCAAUUCAGUGAUCGAUAUAGAUUAAAUGUACAUGUAAACAACAAAAAUAAAAAAUUUCUCUUACAGUCUCUCAUUCUAUUUUUAAUAUUUUGGGCAACUAUUGUAUAUAGUUACCCAUAUAUUAUUAUUUAAUAUUCAGGAGAUGUCAUAGCUACAACAUAUACUUAGAAAUCAUAAGCAAAUAAUAAAACACCAAUAAAAUCUCCCAUCCUCAAGUCAUUUAACUGUUCAAUACAACUUACUGAUUGUCUUCAUCCAUCUUUUUCCUGUCAUAUAUCUUAGAUGAGCUGCAAAGACAGUUACAUUUUACAAUUCAUUAACAACUUUAACAACAUUAAACAGAUGCUGAGUAAUUCAGAUGCAUGCAAAUAUGAAUAUAAAAAUAUGUAAAUAAUAUUGUGUAAUAUAUAAUGUUUUUAUACUAUAAUGUUUUUUACAUUUUAAUGUAGCUUAAACUGUUAUUCAUGUGAUGGCAAAGCUGAAUUUUUAGCAGUUUUGUGGAAACUGUUAUACUUUUUUUCAUAAUUCUUUGAUUCAAAAGAACAGUCUUUAUUUGAAACAGAAAUCUUUUGCAACAUUAAAAACAUCUGUACUCUCAGUUUUGAUAAAUCUGAGUAAAAAUAAUGUGGCUGUGAAACACUUUUUAAAAUAUUCUAACAAGCUUUAUUAUAA
rnacentral:lncRNA from 12 species